CAGCAGCCACGGUAACACGUAGGUGGCAAGCGUUGUCCGGAAUUAUUGGGCGUAAAGGGCUCGCAGGCGGUUUCUUAAGUCUGAUGUGAAAGCCCCCGGCUCAACCGGGGAGGGUCAUUGGAAACUGGGAAACUUGAGUGCAGAAGAGGAGAGUGGAAUUCCACGUGUAGCGGUGAAAUGCGUAGAGAUGUGGAGGAACACCAGUGGCGAAGGCGACUCUCUGGUCUGUAACUGACGCUGAGGAGCGAAAGCGUGGGGAGCGAACAGGAUUAGAUACCCCUGUAGUCCCUGUCUCUUAUAC
rnacentral:rRNA from 1 species